rnacentral:rRNA from 1 species
UACGUAGGUGGCAAGCGUUGUCCGGAUUUACUGGGCGUAAAGGGAGCGUAGGCGGACUUUUAAGUGAGAUGUGAAAUACCCGGGCUCAACUUGGGUGCUGCAUUUCAAACUGGAAGUCUAGAGUGCAGGAGAGGAGAAUGGAAUUCCUAGUGUAGCGGUGAAAUGCGUAGAGAUUAGGAAGAACACCAGUGGCGAAGGCGAUUCUCUGGACUGUAACUGACGCUGAGGCUCGAAAGCGUGGGGAGCAAACAGGAUUAGAUAU